rnacentral:rRNA from 1 species
CAAUAGCGUAUAUUAAAGUUGUUGCAGUUAAAAAGCUCGUAGUUGGAUUUCUGUGAGAGUGCCGGUGUCGGCUGAUGCUUGUACGCAGGCGCUCUUACAUCCUUCUGUUAACUGUUCUUGGCAUUUUAUUGCUGGUUCAGGGCUCAGAUAUUUUACCUUGAGAAAAUUAGAGUGUUUCAGGCAGGCUUAUGCCGGAAUACAUUAGCAUGGAAUAAUGGAAUAGGACCUGUGCGUCUCUCGGGGCGCCGGUCUCCGUUGUUGGUUUCGGGGACUAAUGUAAUGAUUAAUAGGGAUAGUUGGGGGCAUUAGUAUUUAAUAGUCAGAGGUGAAAUUCUCGGAUUUGUUAAAGACUAACUUAUGCGAAANCANNNGCCAAGGAUGUUUUCAUNAA